rnacentral:tmRNA from 1 species
GGGGACGACGGGCUUCGAAGAUGUUCUUAUCCAAAACGAUGCUAGGAGCGGAUGGCCGUUAACCGCUUAAAACAUCCGACCAAACAUAUAACUGGCAAUCAAAACGCCAAUUACGCUUUCGCUUAACAGCUGAAGGCGCAUCUUGCCCCGAUGUUCGCUAGGGGAAUACAGGGUGUCAUUAGCGAGCUCUGGCGAGGUUGUGGUUUCUCCAACUUUCGCUGAAUAUUGGCAGGAACUAGCCGGCGUUUAUUUUUUCGGUUUUAUACGCGCCGGUGAAACACCAAACCGGAUAUCUUAGUAGACGUCGUUUCGGCGAAACAUCUGAUCUGGGUUCAACUCUCAGCGUCUCCACCA